rnacentral:misc_RNA from 1 species
UAAGGCGGUUAUAUUUAGCACACACACACAGGUAGCUGGCACUUAGCGAGGUAAAAUGACGGCCAUAAGGAGAGGGACAGUUGACGGUGCGGGCACAUAAAUGUUUGACAGACGGGUGAGAAGUCAUCAAGAUACAUAUCCCUCCAUUGGGACUGAGAUCAGUGGGACAGUCAGCGACCUGGGAGUACCGCGAGGUAGCUACAAGUUGGACUGACGACAUUGUCAGCGGUUCAUUGAUCAGCGACAAGCCGGACAUACCUGAGCGAGAUGUUGUGAGAGUGAGAGUGAGAUUGUGUCACUUAUCAAGUAUACGGACGAUCAGACCCACUCAUGAUGAGUAUAUUCGGUUGGAGGAAGAGUUUGGCGAUCAGCGAGUCGGACCCGACUUACAAGGUACGGUAUCUGGGGAACGUUCAAACGGCCAUGAUGAAAGGCGACGGUUGUGUGGACAAGCCCGUGUCAAUAAUAUGGAACAACUACAUGCGGAGUUCCCACCCUGGCCUCGAGAUGAAGCUCGUCGUCACAGGCUCCGGACUCAAGGCGUACACGAAGGAGCAAGGACUCACGGAGUACCGAGCACACAGGAUCUCGUACUGCAUCGCUCAUCCUCAGUACCCGAGGGUGUUCGUCUGGGUGUACAGACACGAGGGGAAGAAGAUGAAAAUGGAGCUGCGUUGUCAUGCUGUGCUGUGUAAAACUGAACUGAAGGCUAAGUCCAUGGCACUCCAGCUUCACGAAAAACUCUCCUUCGCCCUUAAAGAGUUUCAGAGAGACAAAGUUCGGAAACAGAACUCCCGACUUGUGUUGCAAAGAACCAAUUCCCUGCCCAAAGCGGGAUCUGUUCUCCCUUUGAGGAAACAGAUGUUAAGCACAGCUACAAACUUCAAACCCCCCGUGAGUAAGUCAAACACCGCUCCCAAACUUGGCGCUAUAACGGAGGACUUCGAGGAGUGUGAACACGAGGAGUUUUGUGUGUGUGAGGACUUGGGGGAGUGCGACGAGAACGACAACCUGGAGAGUGCCAGUGAGAUGGUGGCGGCGUUGACGCUCCACUCCGACACAGCCUCCCUCCAUACACUCAACCCCGAGUGCCUUACAGACCGCAUCAUUGACGUCGAGAUCGGCAACGACAUCGACGAACUUCGUCAGAAUGAGGAAAUUAAAUUAUGUCACGGAAACACGGACUCCGAUGAAGAAAGUGCGGAGUCUGGGUUUCACGACCAGGAUCAGGACCCGAGGGAGGGGUUGGGACUUGUGGAGGAGGGGGAGGGAAGCGUCUGUGAGCUACCCUGUGGGGACACGCCAGAAGACGAUGGGGAUAGCACCAACUUAUAAUGGAUACAGAGAUCGCAAUCCUACCUUAUACAGUGUCCUUGACGUUGUGCCUGACCUUGACAUUGACCUCGACGUUGUGCCUGACCUUGACCUUGACCUAGACGUUGCGCCUGACCUUCACUUCUGUGGGAUAAUGGUUUCCUGUCCUCAGCGACAAAUGUUGCCACAAGUUACAGGAACCAUGUGUUGACCAUGAGAACAUGGAGAUUACUGUUCCGUGAAAGGUGUGUGGCUGCUGUCGAAACGGGGGUAAACGCACAAAUAGUAUACGUUGUACACAGGAGACCACAGGAGACCACAGGAGACUAUAGGAGACUAUAGGACCGGGGCGAAUGUCGUCCACAGCAGUGCUUGUGAAAUGCUCUAACAACUUACAUGAGUGCUUACCUGGGACACGUGAUUGACAGUUGAAAUGUACACGUUGCACAAGGCGAAGACGUGAUUGACAGUUGAAAUGUACACGUGGGACAAGGCAGAAGAUGUGAUUGACAGUUGAAAUCACGCACGUGCGAAUCUGUGUGCCUCUAUUGUGUGUAGAUUGUUAAGACUUCAGAAUUGUACAUAUGUCAUGUCUGGACCAACUGGCCCUGGUGAUUCAUCUGUGAGCAUUUGAUUGUUGACUUGCCAAAAUAUUUUCAUUUGUGGAUUUUCAACUGAUUUUCAUCAGAGAUAGUUUUGAUACUCUGCAUCUGUAUAUAAUAUGAAUGUAAUGUUUAUUUGUUCAUUGUUCAUAUGUAUAUUUAUUUUGUGUAAAAUAUUCAAACAUCGUUAUUAUCUAAAAGGCAAUAUGUUGGUUUGUCUUUCGCAGUGUUGUAUACCGUUGUUCAUCUUAUUUGAAAUCUCGAAUUUAUAUGUACCAUAUUUUAGAUUGUUUAUAGGUUUUAAUCCUUAAGGAAAAAUAAAUUUAAGGUAGAUGCACGGAUACGUCAUAAAUCACGCUCAGUCUGGGGAGUGGUAUAUUUAAUCUUUAAAUAGUUGAAGCCGUUUGGAAGCCUUUCAUAAACUGAAUAUUUGACACAUAUACAUUAAGUAACUUAUAAGUAGUUAUCUAUUUCAUCAAGGUCAUCAUGAUGAAUGUGACAUUUCUGUCUACGCAAAUGGAUUAAUGGCUGUGCUCAAUUGCUUAACACUGAUUAACACUUAACUUUCAAAUCAAAAGGUUUUCGAACAUAACGCUGUGAUUUUGAGUCGUUAAUACUUUUGUUUAUUAUUUGUUUACUCUCACUGUAUAACGAAAGCAGAUUUAGCUAUGAGAACUAUGUACUAUGCAUGUAGCGGGUAGACAAGUUUAAACAUGGCGCUUGUUUCAUGAUCAAUGUGUUCUCUAUUUUCUUGAUCCAUCACAAGGUGUGAUCGCAAUGUCCAUUUGCUUGCAAAACUAACAUGUGAUGCCAUUUGUUGAUGUUCGCCCUCAAGGGUUGUGAUCAAUUAAUAUAUUCUGUAUUUGUAACGUGUGUACAUAUUCUGGCCCUGUGCAAUAUAACUGAACUUGUACACAGCCAGUUAACGAGUCUGUACAUAUUGGUGGACAGCUCUCUGUGGGGUGGGAGAGGAAGUAUAUUUUUAUAGCUGUCAAAGAGCAGAACUCGGAUGAUAAGUACAGUGUCAUUGAUACAAAGAUGCUUAUAUGUUCAUGUAAUACAGUUCAAGAUCUUAGCUCCGUGGCCAUACGGUUAUGUGAUGGUAAAGGUUAUUGCUUCACUGUGAGUUGAAUGAUCGGUUUCAUUAAGAGGGUAUAGAUAAGGGGGGUGUGUGUAAGGUCGGGUACAUCAAGAGGGUUUUGAUAGUCACGUAUUUAUUUGUAUUCACAUAAUAAUAAUUUCUUUCCUAAAAGCAAGUUUAGAUUUCAUUUUCAAUAUUCUGAGAUACAGGUCAUCAAUAAGGUCCGUCCAUGACAGUUUUACAAGGAUUAUGUGUUAAGGUUUUCCACCAAAAGCCUCAGGGGCAGUAACUCUUGCGUCAACCGUGGAACUCCGUUCAUCGCGACGGUUCACUCCAAGGACUGAACACUUUCAUACUGUUCACUUGUUGACAUGUCCAUGAUUGUAGGUUUACGGAGCAAUGGAAUAGGUCAUGAUUUGUAGGUCACAGAGCUAUGGAAAAGGUCAUGAUUUGUAGGUCACGGAGCAAUGGGGGAGGUCAUGAUUUGUAGGUCACGGAGCUAUGGGAUAGGUCAUGAUUUGUAGGUCACGGAGCAAUGGGGGAGGUCAUGAUUUGUAGGUCACGGAGCUAUGGGAUGGGUCGUGUUUAAAUUUGUAGGUCACAGAGCCAUGGGGUAGGUCAUGAUUUGUAGGUCACGGAGCAAUGGGGGAGGUCAUGAUUUGUAGGUCACGGAGCCAUGGGGUAGGUCAUGAUUUGUAGGUCACGGGACAAUGGGAUAGGUCAGGAUUUGUAGGUCACGGAACAAUUGGAUAGGUCUGAUUUGUAGCUCACGGAGCCAUGGGAUGGGUCGUGAUUUGUAGGUCACGGAGCCAUGGGGUAGGUCAUUAUUUGUAGGUCACGGAACAAUUGGAUAGGUCUGAUUUGUAGGUCACGGAGCCAUGGGAUGGGUCGUGUUUAUAGGUCACGGAGCCAUGGGAUGGGUCGUGAUUUGUAGGUCACGGAGCCAUGGGGUAGGUCAUGAUUUAAAGGUCACGGAGCCAUGGGAAAGGUCAUAAUCAAAAGGUCACGGAGCCAUGGGGAUAGGUCAUGAUUUGUGAAUUUGAUGUUCUGGAACCACUGGCUAACCUCUCGUCGGUUGUCAACGUGUUUGUGUAAUAUGCAGGUGCUGUAUCUCCCCAUUUAUCCCAGUCACUACAGAAAUAAGAGCCAGAAACACCCCUUUGCCUUAUCAAAGUAUGGCAAGCCUGGGCUGAUUUCACUUGUUUGACUCACACAGGUGCUGUAUCACCCCAUUUAUCCCAGUCACUACAGAAAUAAGAGCCAGAAACACCCCUUUGCCUUAUCAAAGUAUGGCAAGCCAGGGGUGAUGUCACUUGUUUGACUCACACAGGUGCUGUAUCACCCCAUUUAUCCCAGUCACUACAGAAAUAAGAGCCAGAAACACCCCUUUGCCUUAUCAAAGUAUGGCAAGCCUGGGCUGAUUUCACUUGUUUGACUCACACAGGUGCUGUAUCACCCCAUUUAUCCCAGUCACUACAGAAAUAAGAGCCAGAAACACCCCUUUGCCUUAUCAAAGUAUGGCAAGCCUGGGCUGAUUUCACUUGUUUGACUCACACAGGUGCUGUAUCACCCCAUUUAUCCCAGUCACUACAGAAAUAAGA